rnacentral:siRNA from 1 species
AGGCGGUGAUGGUUUUAUCC